rnacentral:rRNA from 1 species
UACGGAGGGGGUUAGCGUUGUUCGGAAUUACUGGGCGUAAAGCGCGCGUAGGCGGACAUUUAAGUCAGAGGUGAAAUCCCAGGGCUCAACCCUGGAACUGCCUUUGAUACUGGGUGUCUUGAGUUCGAGAGAGGUGAGUGGAAUUCCGAGUGUAGAGGUGAAAUUCGUAGAUAUUCGGAGGAACACCAGUGGCGAAGGCGGCUCACUGGCUCGAUACUGACGCUGAGGUGCGAAAGCGUGGGGAGCAAACAGG